rnacentral:misc_RNA from 1 species
UUUUCGUGUUUUCAUGUAUAACGCGAGUAUUUUUGCAUGACAUACGAGAAGAAGAAAAGGUACAAGUACUUGGAAUCUAAAUCUAAAAGCAGAAUGUAUCGAAGUCUGCUACUUAAGCGCCACGAACAUGGAAGAAAACGAUGAAACGAUGCAGCAAGUAGUACGAGCUUGUCGCGACUGAGACGAAACUAAUCGGAUUGUUGUUAUCUGUGGGUCUAUGAACGUAAAUGGCUUGGCGAAAAAAGAACGCGAUGAAACCAGGUGCACGUACAGAAAUGUGUCCGGGUUAGUGGAUUUUUGGUGCCGCGAAAGUUUCCGAAUUAUAAGAUGGAAGAAACUGG